GCCUGAAUGACCUUCAGCGGUAUAGGCUACAGGCUUCAAACCGUAGCUGUUCAGAGGCAGAGUGAUUCAUUUCUACUUUUCAGGCA